GUCCGACUAAGCCAUGCGAGUCAUGGGGCGCGCUCUGCGCGCACCGGCGGACGGCUCAGUAACACGUCGGUAACCUACCCUCGGGAGGGGGAUAACCCCGGGAAACUGGGGCUAAUCCCCCAUAGGCCUGAGGUACUGGAAGGUCCUCAGGCCGAAAGGGGCAUCUGCCCGCCCGAGGAUGGGCCGGCGGCCGAUUAGGUAGUUGGUGGGGUAACGGCCCACCAAGCCGAAGAUCGGUACGGGCCAUGAGAGUGGGAGCCCGGAGAUGGACACUGAGACACGGGUCCAGGCCCUACGGGGCGCAGCAGGCGCGAAACCUCCGCAAUGCGGGCAACCGCGACGGGGGGACCCCCAGUGCCGUGGCAUCGCCACGGCUUUUCCGGAGUGUAAAAAGCUCCGGGAAUAAGGGCUGGGCAAGGCCGGUGGCAGCCGCCGCGGUAAUACCGGCGGCCCGAGUGGUGGCCGCUAUUAUUGGGCCUAAAGCGUCCGUAGCCGGGCCCGUAAGUCCCUGGCGAAAUCCCACGGCUCAACCGUGGGGCUUGCUGGGGAUACUGCGGGCCUUGGGACCGGGAGAGGCCGGGGGUACCCCUGGGGUAGGGGUGAAAUCCUAUAAUCCCAGGGGGACCGCCAGUGGCGAAGGCGCCCGGCUGGAACGGGUCCGACGGUGAGGGACGAAGGCCAGGGGAGCGAACCGGAUUAGAUACCCGGGUAGUCCUGGCUGUAAAGGAUGCGGGCUAGGUGUCGGGCGAGCUUCGAGCUCGCCCGGUGCCGAAGGGAAGCCGUUAAGCCCGCCGCCUGGGGAGUACGGCCGCAAGGCUGAAACUUAAAGGAAUUGGCGGGGGAGCACUACAAGGG
rnacentral:rRNA from 1 species